GAAUCGAUGCAGAUUAACUGAGUUUUCACCUGGAUCUUUAGUGUGUUGCUGUUGCUUGCUCAAUACUGCUACAUGCUUUUAUCUAUUUCUGCAAUCAUGCUACUUUAGGGAACACAAAACAUUAGCCUGAGUGCUUUACUGGUUUAUAUGGAUGUUUGAAAUGUACUGUUAUUUAUCCAUUUGCUUUCAACAUUCUACUUGGUUAAAUGGCUAUUUGGUGGCUGCCGUAAGUGGUUAAUCAAUUCGGUGGCCCGCAU
rnacentral:misc_RNA from 1 species